CCAAUCCAACUACACCACCAUCAAUACCAUCCCCAAAAAUGAAGAGAAAAAUGAUCAUUUUGCUGCAGUUACUUUUAUGUUCAGUCCUUUUCAGAGGAAUUAAAUCUCAAGGUCAAAUGGAAGAAUCUGGAGGAGGUGUCAAAAGACCUGGGGAAUCGCUCCACCUCUCCUGCACAGGCUCAGGGUUUGACUUUGCCAACGCUGGCCUGCGAUGGGUACGGCAGGCUCCAGGGAAAGGACUGCAGUGGAUUGCAACUAUUUGGUUUGACUCAAGUAAGCAAGUGUAUGCAGAAUCUGUGAAAGGGCGCUUCACCAUCUCCAGGGACAAUGCCAACCACCAGCUGUAUCUGCAAAUGAACAGCCUGAAACCUGAGGACACAGCAAUCUAUUACUGCACAGCUGGCACAGUGAGAGGAAGUGAAUCUGAAGCUAAACAAAAAACUUUUAAUGGAGACCAAGCUCUAUUUUUAUAG